CUUCAUAUGUGAAUCCAAUAAGACUUUGCAACUGGUGAAUCUUCUGUGAAUCAAAACUACAAUUGUCUUUGUUGAAUCUGUUUUGGCACAAAUUUAGCGACUAACCUGUGCCAAAAGUUUUGUAGUUGUCAACAACAAAAAAACUGCUUCUAAAAGCUGCUCUGCAAGCAACCAACAGAGAACAACAUGAGAGCUCUGGUGGGUGGGCUUUUUCUUCCAAUCUACCAGGCGAGGUGUUAUUCUGGAACAUUGUUUCAAACAGGGGGACAGGGCUCAUCUUGAAAGCACACUUUCCACUAUGCUAAAUAUGGAUCAAAUUUGUUGAAAUUACUAAAAUGAUAUUCACAGAAUUUGAAAGCCACAGCAAGACAUUGAUCUGCAAAGCACAACUCUGCCUCUGCUAGUCACACAACCACUGCCUCGGUGGUGGGGUAUCUCCUUCCUGGCUGGCCCUGUCCAGGGGUGACAUUGGACGGGAACAGAGUGUCUCCCACCCCCCCGGUCUCAGUCCCCAGAUCUUGUUUGCAGACUUCUUCCUGGUUAACCUGAUCUUGUGGGUGGAGGGCUUCAAGGCAGCCAUCCCCUUUGGCACGCUGGAGGCCAUCUUGGCUUUGCGGUUUGGCAUCUCCGUGCCCCUUACCUUUGUGGGCGGCUAGCCUACUUCGGCUUCAAGAGGCCUACAAUUGAGCAGCCAUUGCGAACCAAGAGGAUCCCUUGGCAGGUCCAUGAACAUUCUUUCUUUACCAAGCCCGUGCCCAGAAUCGUUAUGGAGGCAUCCAUCCCUUCAGCUGCAUCUUCAUUCAGCUCUUCAUCCUCAACAGUAUCUGGUUUGGGUUCCUGUUCCUGGUUUUCACAAUUUUCCUCAUCACCUGCUCCAAGGGCACCAUCCUGCUGUGCUACUUCCACUAAGGGUUG
rnacentral:lncRNA from 1 species